CUGGGGCUUCUGCAGACCCGCGUCCUGAGGAAAGGGAAGUGGGAGACCGAGUCGGUCCCCACACUGUGACGCUCCCGGCGGGGGAGCAACGCAGAGACGAGAUUGGUUUCAAAACCAAUGAAGAAGAAAUCUAAGACAGAGCCAGUUGGUGUCCAUGAAAACCUUAAGAGAAGGGCAAUUGCAUCAUCAUCAACAGCCUCAGCCUUGGAUUCAAAAAUGCUUCCCAAAAGGGGCCAGGAGAAAGCGGACAUUCAUCUCUCCAUCUCAAACAAGUAUCCUUGUGCAAGCCUUCAAGAAGAACUGAUUUCCUGGCAUUGCAACCAGAGAAGAAUUGGCUUGUCAAACAGGAAUUCCAGAAUCUCAAAUCCAGGAGUCAGGAAGCAGAUCCAUAGGUAUAUGGAGACAGAGUCUCUGAAAGACUCACAUUUGAAUCAAGAACCUAUGGCUGUGCUUCACGUGGCUUGCAUCUGUUCACCAUGGAUUGGGAGGAACCUCAACCUGAUCAGGAGAGCCCCUUUCUUGAUCCAGCCCAGAAAGUUGGGAGUUGAAUCUACACCCAGGUGAUUUUCAUCUGGACUCGGUACCUACCUGGGCCUGGAUCCCUGUCCAUAAGAGAUGGGCUGGUGGACAUAUUCAGUGGACGUAGGGACUGGAGCCAUGUAUGUCAACUCACGCCUGAUCCAGGAAAAGCAUGCCAUCCAGGAAAGAUGUGGUUUCAGAACCGAAGAGCUCUGCACCCAGAGCAGAGCAGAGGUGGGCCCGUGAAGGUACCGGCAGCAGGCCCCAGUGCCAGACUAGCUCUGACUGCUUCGUGGGGCCAAAGCCACCUGUCCAGUGCCCACAGUAGCUCUCAUCAUGUUCCUCCCUCCAGUCUGCUGGAGAGCAUCCAGUCCUUGGCCACAGCAGCUCCUUUUCUCUCCCCCAUGUUCUUUGUUCCUCGUGUUCCCUCUGGGGGCAUGGAGGCUCAUCACUGAGGUCCAUGGUGGUGCAGCCCACUGCGCUGUGCAGGGAAGAGAGAAUCUGAACCUCUGGGAGCAGUUGCAAGUCACUCCUAAGCAGGACCAAAUCCGGGACUGGCUCUCCACCUGUUCACACAGCCUCCAUCCCAGGGAACAUGCCAGGAGAACAACCUGCACACUGGCCUGGCUGCACUCCCCCUCCAAGACUCCCCUCAGCCUGACCUUGGCAAUCCUCAGCCGAACUUGCAGGACCUGGCUUGGCCAUGCACAUCCCAAGCCAUGCAGUGGUGGCGCUAGGGGACCCAAGUUGUCAUCUCCAGAUGGGAGCCUCGGGAAUGGAACAUUCUGCAGCCUGCAAGGCUGAGACACACGUCUGGCAACAGCAGGCACUCAGGUGAAGAGACGUCUCCUCCGCUGGACCAGCACCAGCACUCAGCACUUGGAAGCUCAUCAAGCCUCUUAGAUGAACUCUUGUCAGCCACAGACAUUCAGGAAAAGGUACAGCCUUUCCUGAAUGCGGAUGCACGGGAAGAGAAACCACCAGGAAUUCCGGAAGCAGCCCUCAGCAAGGAAGAAUUUCAGGCUCUUCUCGACAUGCUCCCAAGCUCACCAGGGCCUCAGACUUAGGAGGAGGAAGGAAACCUUCUCCCGAGCCCCUUCCAGGCCUUCUUUCCUGGGAUACAGGGCCAUAAUGAUAAAAGAGAAGGAACAAGCUACACUUAGUGUUCGGGAGCAACACCUAGGCAAGAAGACACAUCGUUCACUUGAAAGCCUGAAGGGCGUGUCUCCCCUCUGUCCUAUUGGCGGCACUUCGUUGCCUCAAUGAGUGUUGCCCAGCUCCACACAGACUCUGAGGAAGCAUGGACACCAGGAGGGGCACCCUUCCUGAAGCCUUAAGGAAAUCUAGCAUUGUCAUGACAAAUGUGACCCAACUCUUCUGUCUGCACCAUCCCUGAACUGGAAUCAAAACAAGUCAAGGAGAUUAGAUAGAAGAAGGACUCAUUCACACACGUUACCUUCCUGGCAAGAUCAGAAGGUAUAUCUGAAGUGUGCUUGGUGUGUAGAAGAGGAGGGGAUGUGACAUGGCUCAAACAUGUGGGUCCAGGAACGUGAGCUCUUAUCAUGGCUGUGAAUGUCGGCUCUGGCAACUGGAAGCAACUUAAGCCUCUAACUAGUGAUGAUUGCUUCAAAGCUUCAGUCCUUCAUACAGUGGAGACUUUGCAUAUUAUUUUCCCUGGGAACAUUUGCAAUAUAAAAGAUGACAGGGAAAGAUACAGUAGCAUCUCUAACCCAUCACUCAGGAAAGGAUAGGAACUUUGCUCUUUCCAUCAUUUUAGCAUGUUUGUAUGUAUGGGCCUGUAUAUGUACCUAUACUUUUUCCUUGUGGAUUUUGAAAAAAGUCUACGUUCUGAGGCUCUUGGUGGUAUUCCAUCAACAGGACCUGCUGCCUUCCUUUGAAAAGUGUGCCUUGGAUUUUCAAGUUGUAUGUGACAUUCCACUGAUUCAACAGGUAUAUCUUUGAACUCAGUGUGACUUCUUGGUUGUGGUUUGGUCCAUUCUUACUUGUCCCAUCUUUCCGGUUCUCCUUAUCUAUUUGUACAGAUCUACCUCUAUUUUAAUUUGACAGGAAGACUGUGUUACAAUGGCCACACACAGUGGGAUAGCGCUCCUGGAAAAAGAGCCUGAACACAGUAGCCUCAGGACAAAUGGGGCUUGAGAUUUGGAAAGGGACUCCUUGUGGAAAGGAUUGUGUCUUUCAAUAUAGUGAGAGGAAGACUGCAUCAGGGUGGCUGGAAACAUUCAGAUCCUUUGUUGGCAGGACUUCUGCAGACUGUAGACAGAGCUAAGGGCUGUGGCUUAGCCCCUUGUGUGUCCAGUGCUGCCUGCUGUAGAGGAGCCCAAGGAUGGGCAUUGGAGCCCACACCAUCAUCUGAUGGCCUGUGUGGAAGUACAUCUGCGUUCUCUCGGGAUACCCUGGGUGCUAUGCAUAUCAAAGCCUCUGCUCUGGGACUUCCCUGGUAGUCCAGUGGUUGGGACUCCAUGCUGCCACUGCAGGGAGCCUGGGUUUGAUCUUUGGUCGGGGAACUAAGAUCCCGCAAGCCACGUGGCACUGCCAGAAAAAAGGCCUCCACUCUCACAAGCAGCCUACCACCUGAGUUGUCCAGUUGGGAGCUGGUAGAGGUCUGGCAGCCAGUGCUUUGGCGAGAACAGCAAUCUAAUCAGAAGCUUCAGGGAAUUUUAUCCGCAAAAACUUCCACCUUCUUGAGAAAGACUGUCCUGAUCCAACAAGAUGGUCCCAUCACCCUCCGAUCUCUGGCACCUGAGAACAAGGGACCAGAAUCUGGGUGUCUUCAAGACAUUCUCCUGAGACUUGAAGACAGCUCUGAUCUCGGUGGCAGCCAUCCAUGGUACCACCUGAUGACCAUCUUUAGAGUGGGCAGAAAAGCAAACAAAAACAUGUAGCAGCCAGAAUGGCCAUUUGGCCUCAGGAGCCAUAACUAAGACACAGAUCCUGGACCAGGUUGGCGGUUUUAUGCUUUCACAGCUGCUACAGUUGAGGCCCUCCUUCUGAAAGUCGUUGGGCCCAUGCUGGAGGCCUCUUCCUCAGGCAACCGCUUGUGCUGUAAGGCAGUUCUCAAACAAGCCCUAGCUGCAUCUGAGGGUGGAGAACAAACUCCUAUUUGGGAGGAAUCCCAUGCUUCCACAAAACAGUAUGCUGAGUUAAAAUAAUGAUGUUUUGGUCAUGUAGAGCCAGUGGCCAUUCUCCCAAACGUACGUAAACACAAGCACACACGUAAACGCACUCACAUCAGCAUUAUUUUAACCUAAUUGAUUUUAAUGAAUUGCUGGUAUAGUUAUUCUCAUUCCCAAUUCUAAAUAGGCUUAACUGUCUUCAUCUUAGUCCACAUUUCUGAGUUUCAUAAACCUGGGUGGGAAAAGAAUACAGUAAAGUUGGUAAUUUGUGUAUUUUUUUUAAUUUUUGAAUUGUCAC